AGAGUCCUGAGAUGUACGCGUAAAUAGACGGUUUUGAGCCAACAUUUUUACAUUGGGAGCCUGAGGGUUCCGCCGGAAUGGACAUGCCCGCAAUGCCGGGACGUCCGGCCCUGUGGACAGGGCACCCACCUGCCAGGGCAGGUUCAAAGCGAGUUAACGCUGCGGCAUAAUGGGACUCUU
rnacentral:other from 1 species